rnacentral:rRNA from 1 species
AUGGAUCAAUCCAUCCCUUUUUCCCGUUCAUAUGCAUCGGAUUCGGAUGACGAUGGUCCCGAUGAAGAAGUUGAUGUGGAGGGGUUCACGCCGAAGGAAGCCGAAGCAUUUAAGAAGGUAUUCGGGUGGGAUCACAAGACACCAUUGUUCAAGGAUCUUAGUCUCGCGGAUGAAGCCAUUGUAGAUGGUGUCAAAUGUAUAUCUAUUGGAGGUAGGCCAAGUUCUCACCGUGAUUUGGAAGACGGCAAGAACGGGAUAUAUCCCGGUUGUGAGUUUGAAUCCUUCUUGAAAUUGAAGAUGUGGCUCAACAACUACUCGGUUACGCAUUAUCAUCCACAUAGAAGGGCCAACUCGGACGUCAAUGUGUGUUACACGGUUAAAUGUGAAGUGCCAAGAUGUCCAUGGAUUUUGUAUGCAAGGCCAUGGAAAGGAGGUCCCACUUGGCGCAUAGUGAGUUGUGUAUCAUGUCACAUGUGCCAACACAAGAAUGCGGAUGGCGAGCUUGUGUCCCAAGAACACAGACAACUCACGUCCGAGUUCAUCGCUUAUAGGUUUUCCAACCAAAUAUCCGCACUUCCAACAAUGAGCAUUAAGAGUUUCAUUGACCUUGUGAAAGCCAUCUUUCAUUACAAGGUGAAGUACGACAAGGCAUGGCGAAGCAAGCCGCAUUCAAGAUGUUGUAUGGCAAUUGGGAGGAAGCAUACAACCGACUCCCUAGGUUGUUGUUAG